GGCUCCAUUCUAUUGUUGGAGAAAGCCAGGUGUGGGUGGCAAAAGGAUGGCCCUGCAUGCAAGAACUAGGUUGAGAGUUCAGAUUCGGGUUGUGAGAAGAGGGAGGCGGCAGCAAGACAUCGUGUGCGCAGUUGGAUACUGUAUCAAGAAUCUUCCAGAACCCAGGGGUCUAGGAGGUCCCCGGACGCUGCUGUCUCUCACCUGUUGAUGGAGCUGACACUGGGCACAGUGUCAUUGUCACAAACACCUUCCGCCAGGAGCCGGUCCCGGAUCUCCCAAGCAAACAUGGUUCCAUGGUUCAAGUUGAAGCUGCUUCUCCCAGACUCCGAAGUCCAGCCUCACUUUGAAUCCCUGGCCUGAUUCAGCCCCUGAAGAUGAGCCUCCUCCCCCUCCAGACCUCUCCACCCCACAAGGAGCUGGCUGACAGAUUCAUAGCUUGAUCAAGAUGCCCUCUGGCCAUCUUUGGUCUUCUGCGGUCUCUUCUGCCAAUGAAUACAAUGGUCUUUAAGAAAACGCCAUUGUCAUGGCCAAUCAGAGCUUGUCUCCUCUCUGGGACUCCACAAUCAUCUGACUAAUACUCUCCCUGGCCCUAAGAAAAGGCCUCUUUCCUCUAAUAGCUUCAGGCAGAGAGCCAGGACUCUCCAUGGCCAAUCAGCCCAGCCCCUUUACUGAGGCAGAGUUUCCCUUGAAUUUACAUAGGGUCUGUGGGCGCCCCGCUGGCCAGUAAGGUUGACAGGACAUGCAACUUUGGAAUCCCCAAGUUCUCUACUUAAAGGACAUUUCUGAUGGAAGCGUCAAAGGCUUUAGUGUUCCUUGUCCUUCUGAACCUGUGCCCUGUGGUUCUCAGCCCUGAAUGAAAGAAUUUGAAUGGUGUGGGUGGGGUGCAGGCUACUGCUAUGCAUACAUUUGAGUCCAUUCCCUUCUAUGAUCUGUGCUCUGGCCUAGACCCUGACCUUAUUUAUUGUGAGAGUUUAGAGUUUCCUGGCACAGCCAGGGCUGUGAGCCACCACACUGGGUCAUCCCUACUUCUGAGGUUCGUGUUUCCCGGCCAUCUUACAAAAGCCACAGGCCUCGCUGAGAGGCUGACUCAGUAGGGCUGGGCUGUGAAUUUCACCAAACACUCUCAUUGCUUCUCUAACAGGUACUCUGAAAGCUGUGGGCUGAAAAGCACAAGGUCACGUGCUGCGUGGGCCUGCAGCUGUGAGGUUGACCACAGAAAGGGAGCCUUGCCGGGAAGGUGGUGUGUGGUGAAUUUCGUGCUUACCUGCCAAGGAUCUUGCUGACACAGCCAUGGCUGACACGGAGCUGGCGAGAGAUAUCACAGGGCCUUACGCCCUGGUGGGCCAGGUCCACAAUGCGUUGACGGACAACUUCCGGCAGAGGCCUGCCGUUCACAAAGGCCCCUCCUAGCUGAUUCAGCCCUCCAUGGCCUAAAAAGACAGGGUUGUCAGGGACCAUUGUCAGAACCAGGCGGCAAAUGUUGGGUGAGACUUAGCCUUGAGUGAGUACUGUGUGUGACCGUGUCUGGGCACUGCAUGGUUAGUUCCUUCAGCAAUCCCUCUGUGUACACCCCCAUCUUGCUCAGAAACACACCUCCUGGGGAGGCUGGCACAGCGGUAUAAGCGCCUCCCCCAUCUGUCACGCCAGGGUUCAAAAGGAGCACAUCACUAUCAGGUGACCCUUUAGGUCUGCUCCAUCUUCAGACUCCCCACCCUUUGUGCCAAGUAUGGCCAAUGACCUCUUUCCCCCAUUUCCUUCAUUCGCAGACAAGACAGGAGUGGAGGAUUCAGGCUUUUCUUAAGUUGAUACACUCAGCUCACUGAGUGACACGGAGGAAAAUAUCCCUUCCCCCUGAAGUUCCUUUUCUUUUCAUUAAAAUGAAGGCAAAAGAUGA